UCUGCGUGAUGGCAAAACUGGAGCAAUUCAGUGACGCAAAGCUGCGGGUCCUACGAGGAUAGCCGGGCCGUUAAG
rnacentral:ncRNA from 1 species